rnacentral:rRNA from 1 species
CAUGAGCAAAAUCUCAACUUUAUUAGAAGAGACGCAUUUAUUAGAUAAAAAGCCAGUUCAUGCUUUUACAGUAUGAAAAUUGGUGAUUUAUAAUAACUUAGCAAAUCGCAAAGUGAAAACAGGCGAUAAAUCAUUCAAGUUUCUGACCUAUCAGCUUUCGACGGUAUGGUAUUGGCUUACCGUGGCAGUGACGGUUAACGGGGGAUUAGGGUUCGAUUCCGGAGAGGGAGCCUGAGAAACGGCUACCACAUCUAAGGAAGGCAGCAGGCGCGCAAAUUACCCAAUUCUAACAGUUUGAGAGAGGUAGUAACAAGAAAUAACAAUACAAGGCAGUUAAAAUGCUUUGUAAUUGGAAUGAUAGAAAUUUAAACCCUUUUUAAAGUAUCAAUUGGAGGGCAAGUCUGGUGCCAGCAGCCGCGGUAAUUCCAGCUCCAAUAGCGUAUAUUAAAAUUGUUGCAGUUAAAAAGCUCGUAGUUGAAGUUCUGCUGAAAGUAACCGGUCUGCUUUUAAUAAAAGUGGUAUCUUGGUAUGUAUUUAGCAAUGAUGUCCUUUGAAGUGUUUUUUACUUUAUUGUAAUAAAGCAUAUUCAGGACUUUUACUUUGAGAAAAUUAGAGUGUUUCUAGCAGGCUGACGCUUUGAAUACUGCAGCAUGGAAUAAU